rnacentral:rRNA from 1 species
AGUAAAAGUCGUAACAAGGUCUCCGUUGGUGAACCAGCGGAGGGAUCAUUACCGAGUUUACAACUCCCAAACCCAAUGUGAACGUUACCAAACUGUUGCCUCGGCGGGGUCACGCCCCGGGUGCGUCGCAGCCCCGGAACCAGGCGCCCGCCGGAGGAACCAACCAAACUCUUUCUGUAGUCCCCUCGCGGACGUUAUUUCUUACAGCUCUGAGCAAAAAUUCAAAAUGAAUCAAAACUUUCAACAACGGAUCUCUUGGUUCUGGCAUCGAUGAAGAACGCAGCGAAAUGCGAUAAGUAAUGUGAAUUGCAGAAUUCAGUGAAUCAUCGAAUCUUUGAACGCACAUUGCGCCCGCCAGUAUUCUGGCGGGCAUGCCUGUCCGAGCGUCAUUUCAACCCUCGAACCCCUCCGGGGGAUCGGCGUUGGGGAUCGGGACCCCUCACACGGGUGCCGGCCCCUAAAUACAGUGGCGGUCUCGCCGCAGCCUCUCCUGCGCAGUAGUUUGCACAACUCGCACCGGGAGCGCGGCGCGUCCACGUCCGUAAAACACCCAACUUUCUGAAAUGUUGACCUCGGAUCAGGUAGGAAUACCCGCUGAACUUA